AAUUAAGAUUCACUUGCACAUUCACUCAUACAUGCUGCUUCUACUCUAGAAGUACGCAUCCACAUACAUCCACUCAUUUCCUUCUCCAGAUUCACUCAAAAUUAUUCUACUCCUAUCCGGGAGAGAAUAGCCAAAAACAUUAUCCUAUCCUUGUUAUUCCCUGUGAAACAAAUGCUCAAGAUAUUUUGGUUACUACCACUUGCUACAUUAUUCCAGGAGGGUGAGUGCUCUAAAAAAAGUGAAUACGAGGAAAUGAAAAGGGGCAAGUGCCCGAAACCUCGAAGAAAAGAAAAAGUGAGACGAGAGGUAAAAAUGGACAAGUGUCCGACAAUAGAAUUAGGGGUACAAGAUACCCACCUGAGAGAAAAGAAAAAAGAAAAUAUAGAGCAUCUUAUUCCCCUCAAAAAGCUUCAAAGUGCAAGAAAGGUAUGUAUCCCCUCAAAAGAGCAAACGUAGAAUUAGACUUUGACCAUUAUCACCAUCAUCACCAUACGCCAUUCAUUCGCCACACAUGCACAUCUUGAUUUGACUUAUUGACUUGUUCUUCUGGAUCCAUGGUUUGACUAUGCAAUAAAUGUCUUGUAAGUAUGUAUACUUUAUCUCCCACCUAUGAGCUCCAGAUAUCAAAACCUUAUUAGAGUAGGG
rnacentral:lncRNA from 1 species